AUUGAACGCUGGCGGUAUGCUUAACACAUGCAAGUCGAGGGGUAACAAGAGAAAAGCUUGCUUUUCUUGUUGACGACCGGCGCACGGGUGAGUAACGCGUAUCCAACCUGCCUAUAACUAGGGAAUAACCUUGCGAAAGUAAGACUAAUACCCUAUGAUUUCCUUUGAUGGCAUCAGAUUAGGAAUAAAGAUUUAUCGGUUAUAGAUGGGGAUGCGUCUGAUUAGCUUGUUGGCGGGGUAACGGCCCACCAAGGCAACGAUCAGUAGGGGUUCUGAGAGGAAGGUCCCCCACAUUGGAACUGAGACACGGUCCAAACUCCUACGGGAGGCAGCAGUGAGGAAUAUUGGUCAAUGGGCGGAAGCCUGAACCAGCCAAGUAGCGUGCAGGAUGACGGCCCUAUGGGUUGUAAACUGCUUUUAUACAGGAAUAAAGUUAGCCACGUGUGGUUAUUUGUAGGUACUGUAUGAAUAAGGACCGGCUAAUUCCGUGCCAGCAGCCGCCGUAA
rnacentral:rRNA from 1 species